AACUUGAGAAGGCCGCAUCAGGUACUAAACAAAGCUGUUUUUCUAUUCUAGCCAUUUUGAGUAGAAGGGAAUUAGUGGUCAGUAUGUCUUUUGAUUCCAGUUAGAUAAGUUAAUAGUCUCAAAUGAAUUAUUUAUAUGUAUGUAGAUGCUAAGAUUUGUGAGUCUCUGACCCAAUUUAAUGCUAAAUCAAGUUCACACUGGGAUUCAAAUCAGUAUCUAGAAAUGAAGAGAGUUUAAUACCGAGUGGAUUAUGUGUUUUUGUAAACUUGCCCUUUUAAUUUGUCUUCCUGUGUUCUUUAUCAUUUGCAGCUUUGGGGGUGGAAUUACUGCCGAAUAGCUCUCUGCUUGGACACAGCUGCAGACUGAGUGUUAAGGCCAGAGUUUAACAUUAAGACUGAGGCUUACUUGUCUCUGCUAGCUGAAUCCCUUCUCUUCUUCUCAACUUCCUCGUCUGUGCCUUCCAACAAAUGUUUUCUAUCAGCUAAAAUUCUCUCUCAGGAAAAAUCAAUGAAGAUAGCCAGACUAGCUAUAGCUUUGGGGAGUUUUGACUUGCAAAUGCACGGGGUUGCGUUUUCCUACAACUGCUAAUGAAAUUUGAUCCUUCAUGUGGAUUGCAGACCUCUCCCCAGAGGGAAUUACUUAACUAGAAAAUGAGUUACAUAUGCUGGUGAUUUAUAACACUAUCCAGAGGCCUCGGAGCUGGUAAAUUUUUCCAGUUUUCUCAUACUUUCCUACAUAUCUGGCUUUAUACAUAGGGAUGGUUCGUUACAACAGUUGUUAUAAUGAAAUAAACAGACCUGAUGGGGAGCAAAGCCAUCCUUUACUCUAGAUUCCACCUAUAUGGGAAAGCUGGAUUUUAAAAAGCUAAAUAUUUGGCCCAAAUCCCAAUAUUUGGAAAGUAAUAUAAUAAUAUGAAGCAUUCUUUCUGAGAUAAAAAAUAAUGCAUCCUGUAGCCUUCCGUUAUGUUAGGUGUGACAUUGUUAAUCCCUUCCCAUAACUUGGAGUGCCAAUCGCUUUUCUGCUUAGAAUUAGAAAAGUUCUUGAAUGUUUGGGGGUCAUAUUUGAAGUCUAGGGGUUUUUGACCAUUUGUAAAGCUAGGAUACUUUUCUGUGCAUGAGCUUUAGCUCUACUUUAACAGUGAAACCAGUUGGCAAGAGAUGUAACCACAAAGCAGUUUUAUAACUUUUCUUAACUCUCUUCCCUCUCAAGUUUUUAGACCUUUAGUCCUGCCAACUCCUUCUUUCCCCUUUAUGGUUUUAAUAAAAAAAUUGUUUUCAUUUAAAUGGGAAGAAGAAUUUUAAGUGGAAGGAAAAAAUGUUAGAAAUCCUAAAUAGAGAGGAAGGGGCUUUGUUGUGACUCAAAGCACCAUUGUAAGUCUCCUCCUCCCAGACCCUGCUAGGAAUAGGAUAGUGAUGUCAUGCCAGUACACACAAUGUGGAUUCAGUGCAAAAGGCUGCUGCAUGUUGAAACUGGCCAAAGGUAGGAAAUGACUGGGACUGCAGCAGACAAAAAUGCUGAUUAUGUGUAAGGAUAUGGUGAGAAACUUUUUCUUGUAAAUAUCUAGUGAGAUAUGGGUCAGAACAAGCCUAUCUCUCUAAGCCUGCUUGGAGAGGAGAAAAACUUCCCAUAUAAGAUCCUACUAGGCCAGGUGUGGUGGCUCAUGCCUGUAAUCCCAGUAUUUUGGGAGGCAGAGGGGGGGGGGAAAUCACUUGCUUCCAAGAGUUCGAGACCAGCCUGGCCAACAUAGUGAAACCCCAUCUCCACUAAAUAUACAAACAUUAGCCAGGCAUGGUGGUGUGUGCCAGUAGUCCCAGAUACUCAGGAGGCUGAGGCAGGAAAAUCACUUGAACCUGGGAGGCAGAGGUUGCCAUGAGCCAAAAUAAUGCCACUGCACUCCAGCCUAGGUGACAGUGAGACUCUGUCUCAAAAAAUAUAUAAAAAUAAAAGAUCCUACUAGAUGGCUGAUAGCACCGGGCAAUGUAAUUGAUUGCUAAAAGUAUAGGAAGAUGGAAAAGGCUGAGCACAGUGGCUUACAUCUGUAAUCCCAGCAUUUUGGGAGGCCAAAGCAGGAGGAUUGCUUGCGUCCAGGAGUUUGAGACCACCCUGGGCAACAUAGCCAGACCUUGUCUCUACUAAAAAUUUAAAAAUUAACCAAGUGUGGUGGUACGCACCUAUAGUCCCAGCUACUUAGAGGCUGAGGCAGAAGAUCGCUUGAGCAUGAGAGUUCAAGGUUGCAGUGAGCCAUGAUCGCCGCUGCACUCUAGCCUGGGUAACACAGUAAGAUCCCUGUCCCUUAAAAACACGAAGAAGAAGAUGGAAGAGACCUAAGAUUCACCUGGACUUCUAGGUUUGGUUGCUUUUUGUGUUUCCCUUUUUUAAUUUCCUGAGUCAUCAUUUGUCUCUUAAUGGACUGCUCAGGGAGUAGAAAGCACAGCCACCCUUGGUCUUAUCACUGUUUCUAAAUAAGCAUCAUUGUCCAUAUUGAAAACAGUCUAGAUUUUUUUUUAAUUAUUAUUUAUUUUUAAGACAGAGUCUCACUGUUACCCAGGCUGGAGUGCAUUGGCGCGAUCUCGGCUCUCUGUAACCACCUCCUGGGUUCAAGUGAUUCUCCUGCCUCAGUCUCCUGAGUAGCUGGGAUUACAGGCGCCUGCCACUACUCCCAGCUAAUUUUUGUAUGUUUAGUAGAGACGGGGUUUUGUCAAGUUGUCCAGGCUGGUCUCAAACUCCUGACUUCAGGUGAUCCACCUGCCUCGUCCUCCCAAAGCGCUGGGAUUACAGGCAUGAGCCACUGUGCCCAGCCGUCUUUGGGCACUUAUAUUAUACUCCCUUUAAUAGUCUUGUAUGGGCCGGGCAUGGUGGCUCACACCUGUAAUCCCAGCACUUUGGGAGGCCAAGGUGGGCAGAUCACCUGAGGUUGGGAGUUCAAGACCUGCCUGACCAACAUGGAGAAACCCAGUCUCUACUGAAAAUAUAAAAUUAGCCAGGCAUGGUGGUGCAUGAGUGUAAGCCCAGCUACUCAGGAGGCUGAGGCAGGAGAAUCCCUUGAACCCGGGAGGUGGAGGUUGCAGUGAGCCGAGAUCUUACCACUGCACUCCAGCCUGGGUGACAAGAGCAAAACUCUGUCUCAAAAAAAAAAAUAUAUAUAUAUAAAAUAGUCUUGUAUGAAUCUGUAUACUCCCCCAUCUGUAUUUUCUUUCAAAGUGAGGAUGUUUUGCUGAGCACAGUGGCUCACACCUGUAAUCCUAACUACUUGGGAGACUGAGGCAGGAGGAUGGCUUGAGGCCAGGAGUUUGAGACCAGCAACAUAUUAAGACCCCAUCUCUUAAAAAAAAAAAAGCUGGGAGUGGUGGUAUAGUGGUAUAUCUGUAGUCCUAGCUAUUUGAAAGGCUGAGACAGGAGGCAGGAGAAUUGCGUGAGCCCAGAAGUUUGAGACUGCAGUGAAGUAUGAUUGCUCCACUGCACUGCAGCCUGGGCAAGAGAAUGAGAUGCUGUGUCUAUUUGAAAUUUUUUAAAAAGUAAGGAUGUUUUUUGGUGGGUAGUGGCAUGCCGCGAUGGCGGCAGGCAGCAGUGAUCCACAGGCUGGUGACGUAGAGGACACGUUACAGCUCAUCUUUCCUAAAGAGUUUGAAACAGCUGAGACUUCUAAAUUCAGAAGUUUAUAUGCCUCUGGAACAUCAAAAGCAACAGAAUAAGAGUGCAGAGAAUAAACAGGAACUCUCAGAAAUCUUCAUAAGAACAUUAAACUGUAUAGCCCAUUCCAGUCAUUUCAAAAAGAGAGAGACCAUUUCCAGUGUUCAUAGCUUGCUACUCCAGAAAAAGCUUCGUACGUUUGAGUUGACCUGUUUGGCCAACCUAUGCCCAGAGACUGCCAAGGAGUCCAAGGCUCUAAUCCCAAGCUUGGAGGGGCGGUUUGAAGAUGAGGAGCUGCAGCAGAUUCUUGAUGCCAUCCUGACAAAGCACAGCUUUCAAUAUUAAUCUCCAAACAUCACUGCUGCUCGGAGAAACCACAUCCCCAGGCAUCACACCACCUUCCCAGGGUCUGGGGCUGACUUGCACAGAAAUUCUAUUGCAGAAGAGAGCCCAGCUUGGCGUUGGGUUAGGUUUCUGUUUCAAAUAACUCACAGGCCCAGGUGACAUGUAAUCUUGGAGCAGCCUUGGGAAGUGGCUGCCAGGGGCUUCCUGAACGUGCCUCUGGGAAGUGUGAGGUCAGGCGAGGGGUCAUAUAAGCCACGCUAUUGACUACCUCAUUCAUGGUUUUUGGCCUCCACACCAUCUUUUAUUCUUAAUAUUUUAUGUUUUAAUUUCAGUGUGUUUAUAUUUUUUGAAACUAGACCAGAACAUAGUAGACUUUAUAGAGAAAGAUCCAUUUUUUCUAGAUACCAAAGGAAGAAUUAAACCACUGUUACUGUUUGAAAUGCUUAUUUUUAUUUUUAUGGAGAUAGGGUCUUAACUCUGUGGCCCAGGCUGGAGGAGUGUAGUGAUACAGUCAUGGCUCACUGCAGCCUUGACCCCUCUGCCUCAGCCCCCCAAAUAGGUGGGGCCACAGGUGUGCAACACCACUCUCAGCUAAUUUUUAAAAUUUUUUAUGGAGAUGGGGUUUCACUACCUCGCCCAGACUGGUCUUAAACUGGUCUUAAACUUCUUGGCCUCCUGCCUUGGCCUCCCAAACUGGUAAGGUUACAGGCGUGAGCCACCACAUCUGACCUGAAAUGCUUAAAGGAUGAGAGUGUCGAUGACAGAUCUCCUUGGCAUCAUUGUGCCUAACCUGGGACACAGGGAAGAAGCGUGCCAUGGGAAGUGUUUACAUCUGGGGACAACUGUGCUAAGUAUUAUGGAGCCCAUAGCCUUGAGGGAGAUGCCUACUUUGCCUUUUUUCUUGAGCUGUCUUGCAGAAUGUGUAUUUGAGCCAAGUGGCCUUAAAGCACUUAUUUAGUCACCCUCAAAUUAAGAUUUUUACUUCUCUUUCUUGGGUCUGCACCUCCAAGAUCACAAAGAAAAGAAGAAACAAUGGUCGUGCCAACGAGGGCCACAACCGGGGGUGUGCUAUUCACUGCAGCCUAUUUGUUUCAUGAACUGUGUCCAUUGUGUGCCCAACGACAAGGCCUUUAAGAAAUUCAUCAUUUGAAAUGUAGAGGCUGCAGCAGUCAGUGAUGUUUCUGAAGUGUGUGUCCUUGACACCUGUGUACUUCCCAGGCUGGAUGUGAAGCUGCAUUACUUUGUGAGCUGUGCUAUUCACAGCACAGUAGGCAGGAAUUGAGCUCAUGAAGCCCACAAGGACCAAACAUAUCUACCUCAAUGAGACCUGUGGGGGCUGCCCCAUGCCCCCCACCAAAGCCCAUAUAAGGAGCAGAGUACUUAAGGACUCAAGAAAAACUAUCCUCUGGAGAAAAAUAAAAUUGCAAUUGUACUUAAAAGACCUUACUUCAUAGGCCAUGCUUGAAGUUCUGCACACUUUGAAGUCUGUGAUUAUGAGGGAUCCAGUCUAAGCUUCUGGCUUGCUACUUAGCAAUAGGUGUUCUAUGAUGGACUGAUUCGGAAGGAGGGAGUCAGCCACUCUUGAGCCACUGCAGUGAAGUCAUUUGAUCUUAGUCUGGGGGGAAACACUUGAAUAGCUAAACAUUCUAGUUUUGAUUUUUCUGAAGGGAAUACACCUGUUUUCAAUUCUGGGGUUUUUCUGUGGGGCACUUGCUUGACUGUAUAUGAACUUGUCAUCCAAGUAGGAGAAAGAACAAUGUUGGCUUUUAAAGUCAGGAUAGUUUUGUGUUUGCUACUAGAUAAGGUAAAAAUAAAAAAUUCUUAUUUUUA